rnacentral:rRNA from 1 species
AAGAUGACCUCGCGGCCUAUCAGCUUGUCGGUGAGGUAAUGGCUCACCAAGGCGACGACGGGUAGCCGGCCUGAGAGGGCGACCGGCCACACUGGGACUGAGACACGGCCCAGACUCCUACGGGAGGCAGCAGUGGGGAAUAUUGGGCAAUGGAGGAAACUCUGACCCAGCGACGCCGCGUGCGGGAUGAAGGCCUUCGGGUUGUAAACCGCUUUCAGCAGGGAAGAAGCGAAAGUGACGGUACCUGCAGUAGAAGCACCGGCUAACUAUGUGCCAGCAGCCGCGGUAAUACAUAGGGUGCAAGCGUUGUCCGGAAUUAUUGGGCGUAAAGAGCUCGUAGGUGGUUCGUUACGUCGGAUGUGAAAAUCUGGGGCUCAACCCCAGACCUGCAUUCGAUACGGGCGAACUAGAGUGUGGUAGGGGAGACUGGAAUUCCUGGUGUAGCGGUGGAAUGCGCAGAUAUCAGGAGGAACACCAAUGGCGAAGGCAGGUCUCUGGGCCAUUACUGACACUGAGGAGCGAAAGCGUGGGGAGCGAACAGGAUUAGAUACCCUGGUAGUCCACGCCGUAAACGGUGGGCACUAGUUGUGGGAACCUUCCACGGUUUCUGCGACGCAGCUAACGCAUUAAGUGCCCCGCCUGGGGAGUACGAUCGCAAGAUUAAAACUCAAAGGAAUUGACGG